rnacentral:rRNA from 1 species
GACGAACGCUGGCGGCGUGCUUAACACAUGCAAGUCGAACGGAAAGGCCCUGCUUUUGUGGGGUGCUCGAGUGGCGAACGGGUGAGUAACACGUGAGUAACCUGCCCUUGACUUUGGGAUAAAUUCAGGAAACUGGGGCUAAUACCGGAUAGGAGCUCCUGCUGCAUGGUGGGGGUUGGAAAGUUUCGGCGGUUGGGGAUGGACUCGCGGCUUAUCAGCUUGUUGGUGGGGUAGUGGCCUACCAAGGCUUUGACGGGUAGCCGGCCUGAGAGGGUGACCGGCCACAUUGGGACUGAGAUACGGCCCAGACUCCAACGGGAGGCAGCAGUGGGGAAUAUUGCACAAUGGGCGGAAGCCUGAUGCAGCAACGCCGCGUGCGGGAUGACGGCCUUCGGGUUGUAAACCGCUUUCGCCUGUGACGAAGCGUGAGUGACGGUAAUGGGUAAAGAAGCACCGGCUAACUACGUG